rnacentral:lncRNA from 1 species
UGGGUUUCUCGCCUCCCCCACAAUUUUCAUUAUCUCCUCCACACUUUGUAGAGAAAAGCUUGGGUUUUCUCUCUGGUAAUAAACGGCUUGAGCUGACUCCGUUAGCUCCCUAGGUAAGUUCUUUAAGAACCAUGGGUGAUUCUUAAUUUCUUUAAGUGUAAUUCUCUGCAAGAGAACAUAGAUGAAAAAUGAUUUCAAUAUGGAUUGUGUUUCAACAUAGUAUAGAAAUCAACACUGAGGGAGGGUGCGUUGCAGUUACGAAUACAUCAUGCUUAAGAAUUGGACUCAUUUGACUAAAAUGCAUAAUAAUUUAAUGGCCACAUCUCAUAGAAUCAUUUGAACUAAUAUUAUAAGUUGUCCAUGUAUGUGCAUUUGCUACAUCAUCAAACUAGCUAAUCCUUUUUGAAAAGAAGAUAUCCUUGCAUGAGCAGGAACUGAAGGUUAAGUAAGGUUUGUUUUAAGAUCAAGACUACAUAAUCUUUCGUGUUACCAAAAAUACAAGGACUCUCUGGGCCAGCAUAUAUGUCAGCUAAACACAAUAGUUCUUAAACUUCAGUCACACGCAAAGCAAAAAGUAAUUGAGGAAUUCAUUAAAACUAAAAUGCAGGCAAGAUUGGAUGGAGGCCAAAAAGCAAUCUUCUAGAUCCUAAUAGAGAGCAUCAGAAAGCCGCAACACAUUAUAGUUACAGUAUAUCAUGAUGGGGCUUAGUGGCUCAUUGAAAUGAUGGAAGUUAAAAUGGUAACUUUAAAAGUCAUAUGUACC